rnacentral:rRNA from 1 species
CACCUGGGGAGUGCGGCCGCAAGGUUAAAACUCAAAUGAAUUGACGGGGGCCCGCACAAGCGGUGGAGCAUGUGGUUUAAUUCGACGCAACGCGAAGAACCUUACCUGGCCUUGACAUGCAGAGAACUUUCCAGAGAUGGAUUGGUGCCUUCGGGAACUCUGACACAGGUGCUGCAUGGCCGUCGUCAGCUCGUGUCGUGAGAUGUUGGGUUAAGUCCCGUAACGAGCGCAACCCCUAUCCCUAGUUGCUAGCAGUUCGGCUGAGAACUCUAGGGAGACUGCCGGUGACAAACCGGAGGAAGGUGGGGAUGACGUCAGGUCAUCAUGGCCCUUACGGCCAGGGCUACACACGUGCUACAAUGGUGCGCACAGAGGGCUGCAAACCCGCGAGGGGGAGCCAAUCUCACAAAACGCAUCGUAGUCCGGAUCGCAGUCUGCAACUCGACUGCAUGAAGUCGGAAUCGCUAGUAAUCGUGAAUCAGAAUGUCACGGUGAAUACGUUCCCGGGCCUUGUACACACCGCCCGUCACACCAUGGGAGUGGAUUGCACCAGAAGUGGUUAGUCUAACCUUCGGGAGGACGAUCACCACGGUGUGGUUCAUGACUGGGGUGAAGUCGUAACAAGGUAACCGUA